UUGGGAUGUGGUGGUUGUGGGCUGGCGUCAGCCUCAAAGGAUGGAAAGGGAAGAAAGCCCUGCAGCCUCUCACUCUAGAGUUUUGAAGAAAGCCUUCAGCAACAAGAUGGAAAUUUUACCAGAUGCUAUUGAUGAUGCGUUAACUGAAACACUGCGCCAUGCAGCAAAGAGGGUAAAAGGAGGAUGAAAGAAUUGGUACUGGUGUUAAUGCUGACUCAGAUGCUGGGGUGGAUGCCGAUGCCAUGG